rnacentral:rRNA from 1 species
UACGUAGGGGCAAGCGUUGUCCGGAAUCAUUGGGCGUAAAGAGCGCGUAGGCGGCCCUGUAAGUCCGCUGUGAAAGUCAAGGGCUCAACCUCGAGACGCCGGUGGAAACCGUAAAGCUAGAGCCGGGAAGAGGAGAGUGGAAUUUCCUGGGUGUAGCGGUGAAAUGCGCAGAUAUCAGGAGGAACACCCGUGGCGAAAGCGGCUCUCUGGGACGGUACUGACGCUGAGACGCGAAAGCGUGGGGAGCAAACAGGG